rnacentral:rRNA from 1 species
CGAGUGGGUAAUACCUGGCGAUUCAGCGGGGAGGCAUCUUUCUGCUGGGAAACGAGUUUCGCCUCGGGAGGGGCUCAUGUAGUAUUAGCUAGUUGGUAAGGUAACGGCUUACCAAGGCGAAGAUGCUUAGCGGGUGUGAGAGCACGACCCGCGCCACUGGCACUGAGACACUGGCCAGACUCCUACGGGAGGCUGCAGUCGAGGAUCUUCGGCAAUGGGCGCAAGCCUGACCGAGCGACGCCGCGUGUGCGAAGAAGGCCUUCGGGUUGUAAAGCACUGUCGAGGGGAAGAAAGCCGCAAGGUUGAUCGACCCCUGGAGGAAGCACGGGCUAAGUUCGUGCCAGCAGCCGCGGUAAGACGAACCGUGCGAACGUUGUUCGGAAUCACUGGGUUUAAAGGGCGCGUAGGCGGGCUGUCAAGUCGGUGGUGAAAUCGUUCAGCUCAACUGGACAAUGGCCUUCGAUACUGGCG